rnacentral:rRNA from 1 species
UGAAUACGAGACGCUAAGGCGUCGAAGUAGUGUAUGUCAUACUUCCAAGAAAAGCUUGCACUGUCAUAGAUAAAAAACGCCUGUACCAUAACCGACACAGGUGAGUAGGUAGAGUAUACUAAGGGGCGCGAGAUAACUCUCUCUAGGGAACUCGGCAAAAUAACUCCGUAACUUCGGGAGAAGGAGUGCCUUAUUCGUAAGGUUGCAAUAACAAGAUCCAAGCAACUGUUUAUCAAAAACACAGGUCUCCGCUAAGUCGUAAGACGAUGUAUGGGGGCUGACGCCUGCCCAGUGCCAGAAGGUUGAAGAAGUUGGUUAGCAAUUGCGAAGCUGAUAACUGAAGCCCUGGUGAACGGCGGCCGUAACAAUAACGGUCCUAAGGUAGCGAAAUUCCUUGUCGGGUAAGUUCCGACCCGCACGAAAGGCGUAAUGAUUUGGAUACUGUCUCGGAGAGGGGCUCGGUGAAAAAGACUUGUCUGUGAAGAUGCGGACUACCUGCACCAGGACAGAAAGACCCUAUGAAGCUUUACUGUAACUUGAAAUUGAAAUUGGACUUUAUUCGCGCAGUAUAGGUGGGAGGCGUUGAUUAUAAUCUUGUGGGAUUAUUGGAGCCAUCAGUGAGAUACCACUCUUGUAAUGUUAGAUUUCUAACUUUGAAUCAUUACCUGGUCAAAGAACAGUUUCAGGCGGGCAGUUUGACUGGGGCGGUCGCCUCCUAAACGGUAACGGAGGCGUACAAAGGUUUCCUCUGAACGGUUAGAAAUCGUAUCUAGAGUGUAAAGGCAUAAGGAAGCUUGACUGUGAGACCUACAAGUCGAGCAGGGACGAAAGUCGGUCUUAGUGAUCUGACGGUACUGAGUGGAAAGGCCGUCACUCAACGGAUAAAAGUUACUCUAGGAUAACAGGCUGAUCUCCCCCAAGAGUUCACAUCGACGGGGAGGUUUGGCACCUCGAUGUCGGCUCAUCGCAUCCUGGGGCGGUAGUACGUCCCAAGGGUUGGGCUGUUCGCCCAUGAAAGCGGUACGCGAGCUGGGUUCAGAACGUCGUGAGACAGUUCGGUCCAUAUCCGGUGUAGGCGUUAGAAUAUUGAGAGGAGCCUUCUUUAGUACGAGAGGACCGAGAAGGACAUACCUCUGGUGUACCAGUUAUCGUGCCAACGGUAAACGCUGGGUAGCUAUGUAUGGAGUGGAUAACCGCUGAAAGCAUCUAAGUGGGAAGCCCACCUCAAGAUAAGUAUUCAC